AUGUAUGAGCAAGACAAGCAUGUGAUUGGAAUAAUAACCAACAUCCUACGCGGUAACCCGUACUCUCAACAGUUUAGGAGUUUGGGACAAGCCCAAAACCUUGAGGACUACAGAGUCAUCUUGAACCUUGACCAAAGAUUGGACCAGAGAACAUACAACGCACCAAUCAAUUCAGAGGUAGCUGCAGUGUGGAUUGAAGGAAAUGAAAGAAGAGAUACUUAUGACAGGAGUGUAAUACUACAUGGGAACAACAACGAAAAAGAGCACAUUCGAUCAUAUUACGGGUGCUAUGAUCCGUUGUCGUAUCCUCUAUUCUUUCCAAGAGCUGAACUGGGUUGGCAUAGGAAAAUCCCAAAGAAGAAUACACAAGAGGAAGACAUUGGUGCUGAUAAUAUCAAUAAUGACGAGGACCCAGGUAAAAAAUUCAUAUACUAUUAUAUUCAAAAUUCAAUUUUCAUAUAUGGUACAGUACAAACUUAUGCGACUAACUCUUUAUGUUGCAAUUUUUGCAUAGAUUCGGUCAACGGCUUGUGGGUAACCAUGAAAGAAUACUACUGCUAUAAAUUAACAUGACCAAGCAUAUUCAACCCAAUAUUGCAUGGCGGAUGGCUUUUCCAGCAGUUUGUUGUAGAUACAUACAUCAAGAUUGAAAGCUCCAGACUGGAUUACAUGUGGCAUCAUCAAAAGAAAAUAAGGGCAGAUCUAUACCAAGGCCUUCUAGACAGCAUUCAAGCCGGAGAACAGAAUGGAGAUGCAGUCGGAAAACAGAGAGUA
rnacentral:rRNA from 1 species